CUGUGGUGCAUAAUGCGUAACUAACGCUUUUUCCCCAAAAUAUGCCUAAAAUCUCUUUGAGGAUGACAUAGCGUAAAUUACACUCAUAAAACCUUCUUACCUCUCAAUCAGGUCAUGCUUUCCACAU